rnacentral:rRNA from 1 species
AUGAAGCAACAAGUCAAGGAGCUAGUACGGCAAUGCAUAAUCUGUCAACAAGCCAAAACCGAGCGAGUAUCUCCAGCAGGCCUGUUACAGCCGUUACCCAUCCCUCAACGGCCGUGGGCAGUGAUAUCCCUUGAUUUCAUCGAAGGGUUGCCGAAAUCCGGUGGAUACAAUGCAAUACUAGUGGUGGUGGACAAGUUCUCCAAGUAUGCCCACUUCCUUCCACUGACCCAUCCCUUCACUGCUCUGGAUAUUGCUAAAGUGUUUAUGCAAGAGAUUUUCAAGCUGCACGGAAUGCCAAUGGGUAUCAUAUCUGAUCGCGAUCGCAUCUUCACCGGGCAAGUUUGGCAAGAAUUGUUCCGUCUGUGCCAUACCGAGUUGAAGAUGAGUUCCUCAUAUCACCCUCAGACGGAUGGACAGACGGAGAGGGUAAACCAAUGCCUUGAGACAUAUCUCCACUGUUCGGUGCACUCAUGCCCCUCAAACUGGUCCAAGUGGCUGUCGCUCGCAGAAUAUUGGUACAACACAUGCUUUCACUCUUCGCUGGGGCGUACUCCUUUUGAGGUCAUAUACGAACACUUGCCUCGGGAAUUCGGCAUCGACCAAGUGGCAGAGAACACAGUUCCAGAUCUGGCAGCUUGGCUGAAAGAACGAGAAGUGUUGCGUGAGCUUCUUCAGCAACAACUUAAACAAGCUCAGGACCGCAUGAAAAAACAGGUUGAUCGUCACCGGACAGAGCGGACCUUCGAAGUUGGAGACUCUGUCCUUCUCAAGCUCCAACCGUUCAUUCAAACAUCGAUCGCCCGUCGACCAUUCCAGAAAUUGGCAUUUCGAUACUACGGACCAUACACUAUUCAGGCCAAAGUGGGUGCGGUGGCUUACCGUUUAAACCUGCCACCAACCAGCAAGAUUCACCAUGUGGUGCACGUAUCCCUGCUCAAGCGUGCAGUUGGGGCAGAAGUGCCUGUGAACGCUCAGUUACCUCCUCCUAACACUGUUUUGCAGGCUGAGCAUUCGCCAGGUGGGGUGCUUGAUAAGAAGCUGGUUCGGGUGGACGGCACCCUAGAAACACGGGUGCUGAUCAAAUGGAGUGACCUGCCAGCAGACCUCGCGACAUGGGAAGACCCCGUCAAGCUACAGCAGCAGUAUCUAGCAUCACCGCCUUGGGGGCAAGGCGGUCCUCAAGGAGGGGAGAAUGUCACGACUGACAAGAGGAGCCAUGACAGCGACGAGGUAGAAGGCCCAGCGGUCAGGCGAAUCAGCGAAUCCAAAGGAGAGAAAGCACCCACGACUGGGACCGGGCAGUCAGCGAGACGUGAGUGA